GACGAACGCUGGCGGCGUGCUUAACACAUGCAAGUCGAACGGUGACCCACCUUCGGGUGGCGAUCAGUGGCGAACGGGUGAGUAACACGUGGGCAACCUGCCCCUGACUCUGGGAUAACUCCUCGAAAGAGGUGCUAAUACCGGAUACCACCUCCCUCGGCAUCGUGGGGGGUUGGAAGUUCUUCGGUCAGGGAUGGGCCCGCGGCCUAUCAGCUAGUUGGUGGGGUAACGGCCCACCAAGGCGACGACGGGUAGCCGGCCGGAGAGGGCGACCGGCCACACGGGGACUGAGACACGGCCCAGACUCCUACGGGAGGAAGCAGUGGGGAAUAUCGCGCAAUGGGCGAAAGCCUGACGCAGCAACGCCGCGUGAGGGAUGACGGCCUUCGGGUUGUAAACCCCUUUCAGGAGGGAAGAAUUAAUGACUGUACCGCCAGAGGAAGCCCCGGCUAACUACGUGCCAGCCGCCGCCGUAAUAC
rnacentral:rRNA from 1 species